UGACCUUAUUUAGAUACGAAAAGAUUUUGAAUUUCGCUACUAGAGCACUUUCGUUUGUUUUGGCAAAUAUUGUCUAAUUAUGAACUAACUAAGAUCAAAAAAUUCAUUUCGCGAUUUACAGUUAAACUAUGUAAUUAGUUUUUAUUUUUAUUUUUAUUUAAUGUUUCAUGCAUGUGCCGAAAGAUUCGAUGUGUUAGGAAAUCUUUAAAACUUUUUAAUUUUUGGGAUGAACUAAACAAGGCCUAUGACAUUCAAAAAAAAAUUUAGAUUUUCAUACCGUUUUAUUUUCGUUUUAUUUUAUAAAUAUUAUUUAAUUAUAAAGUAACUAGUUUUAAAAAAAAUUAUUUCGUAAUUUCUAGAUAAACUGUGCAAUUAGUAUUAUCUAUAUUUAUAUUUAAAACUCUAUACUUAUAUCGUAAAAUUCGAUAUAAAAGAAUUUUUUUAAAUUUUUUUUUGUUUUUAAGUGGACUAAAUAAGGCCUGUAUACAAUGACUAAACCCCGGGCCACGUCAUCGAGGAGCAUAUAGUAUAGUAGUAUA
rnacentral:lncRNA from 1 species